AUUAAAGAGACACUCAAGCUUGCUGAAGUGCUUUAUGCGUGAAAGGUGUGUCAUCUUUUUUCAUAUUGCAAAAAGUGCAGAUUGUAAUAGAAAGUGGCACUUUUAUAAAUUAACCUUGUUACACCCACCUGGCUGUCAAUCAGAUGUCCAGCCCUGUUACUUCCUGGUUGUUUAGCUCAGUGUAGAUUAACUAAGGAGAUAGACAAUCUCCCAGAGCACCUGCCUUGCAAGGACUCUUCAUUGAGC